rnacentral:rRNA from 1 species
AGAGUUUGAUCCUGGCUCAGGACGAACGCUGGCGGCGUGCUUAACACAUGCAAGUCGAACGAUGAACCGGUUUCGGCCGGGGAUUAGUGGCGAACGGGUGAGUAACACGUGGGCAAUCUGCCCUGCACUCUGGGAUAAGCCCGGGAAACUGGGUCUAAUACCGGAUACGACACUCCGAGGCAUCUUGGGGUGUGGAAAGUUCCGGCGGUGCAGGAUGAGCCCGCGGCCUAUCAGCUUGUUGGUGGGGUAAUGGCCUACCAAGGCGACGACGGGUAGCCGGCCUGAGAGGGUGACCGGCCACACUGGGACUGAGACACGGCCCAGACUCCUACGGGAGGCAGCAGUGGGGAAUAUUGCACAAUGGGCGAAAGCCUGAUGCAGCGACGCCGCGUGAGGGAUGACGGCCUUCGGGUUGUAAACCUCUUUCAGCAGGGAAGAAGCGAAAGUGACGGUACCUGCAGAAGAAGCACCGGCUAACUACGUG